GCAGGGGGACAGUUGUUAGUGUUGCACUCUGAAAGAGCUGUUGGUUAAUUCCUGCCUUCCUCCCUUUUCCCAGUCCACUUCGACUGCUCGGGGAAGUACAGAUGUCGCUCAUCCUUUAAGUGUAUCGAGCUGACAGCUCGAUGUGAUGGAGUCUCGGAUUGCAAAGACGGGGAGGACGAGUACCGCUGUGUCCGGGUGAGUGGUCAGAAUGCCGUGCUCCAGGUGUUCACAGCUGCUUCGUGGAAGACCAUGUGCUCCGAUGACUGGAAGGGUCACUACGCAAAUGUUGCCUGUGCCCAGCUGGGUUUCCCAAGCUAUGUAAGUUCAGAUAACCUCAGAGUGAGCUCGCUGGAGGGGCAGUUCCGGGAGGAGUUUGUGUCCAUCGAUCACCUCUUGCCAGAUGACAAGGUGACUGCGUUACACCACUCAGUAUAUGUGAGGGAGGGAUGUGCCUCUGGCCACGUGGUUACCUUGCAGUGCACAGCCUGUGGUCAUAGAAGGGGCUACAGCUCACGCAUCGUGGGUGGAAACAUGUCCUUGCUCUCGCAGUGGCCCUGGCAGGCCAGCCUUCAGUUCCAGGGCUACCACCUGUGCGGGGGCUCUGUCAUCACGCCCCUGUGGAUCGUCACCGCUGCACACUGUGUUUACGACUUGUACCUCCCCAAGUCAUGGACCAUCCAGGUGGGUCUAGUUUCCCUGCUGGACAAUCCAGCCCCAUCCCACUUGGUGGAGAAGAUUGUCUACCACAGCAAGUACAAGCCAAAGAGGCUGGGCAAUGACAUCGCCCUCAUGAAGCUGGCCGGGCCGCUCACGUUCAAUGAAAUGAUCCAGCCUGUGUGCCUGCCCAACUCUGAAGAGAACUUCCCCGAUGGAAAAGUGUGCUGGACGUCAGGAUGGGGGGCCACAGAGGAUGGAGCAGGUGACGCCUCCCCUGUCCUGAACCACGCGGCCGUCCCUUUGAUUUCCAACAAGAUCUGCAACCACAGGGACGUGUACGGUGGCAUCAUCUCCCCCUCCAUGCUCUGCGCGGGCUACCUGAAGGGUGGCGUGGACAGCUGCCAGGGGGACAGCGGGGGGCCCCUGGUGUGUCAAGAGAGGAGGCUGUGGAAGUUAGUGGGAGCGACCAGCUUUGGCAUCGGCUGCGCAGAGGUGAACAAGCCUGGGGUGUACACCCGUGUCACCUCCUUCCUGGACUGGAUCCACGAGCAGAUGGAGAGAGACCUAAAAACCUGAAGAGGAAGGGGACAAGCAGCCACCUGAGUUCCUGAGGUGAUGAAGACAGCCCGAUCCUCCCCUGGCCUCCCGUGUAGGAACCUGCACAUGAGCAGACACCCUCGGAGCUCUGAGUUCCGGCACCAGCAGCAGGCCCGAAAGAGGCACCCUUCCAUCUGAUUCCAGCACAACCUUCAAGCUGCUUUUUGUUUUUUGUGUUUUUGAGAUGGAGUCUCGCUCUGUUGCCCAGGCUGGAGUGCAGUGGCGAAAUCCCUGCUCACUGCAGCCUCCGCUUCCCUGGUUCAAGCGAUUCUCCUGCCUCAGCUUCCCCAGUAGCUGGGACCACAGGCGCCCGCCACCAUGCCCAACUAAUUUUUGUAUUUUUAGUAGAGACAGGGUUUCACCAUGUUGGCCAGGCUUCUCUCAAACUCCUGACCUCAAAUGAUGUGCCUGCUUCAGCCUCCCACAGUGCUGGGAUUACAGGCAUGGGCCACCACGCCUAGCCUCACGCUCCUUUCUGAUCUUCACUAAGAACAAAAGAAGCAGCAACUUGCAAGGGCGGCCUUUCCCACGGGUCCAUCUGGUUUUCUCUCCAGGGGUCUUGCAAAAUUCCUGACGAGAUAAGCAGUUAUGUGACCUCACGUGCAAAGCCACCAACAGCCACUCAGGAAAGACGCACCAGCCCAGAAGUGCAGAACUGCAGUCACUGCACGUUUUCAUCUCUAGGGACCAGAACCAAACCCACCCUUUCUACUUCCAAGACUUAUUUUCACAUGUGGGGAGGUUAAUCUAGGAAUGACUCGUUUAAGGCCUAUUUUCAUGAUUUCUUUGUAGCAUUUGGUGCUUGACGUAUUAUUGUCCUUUGAUUCCAAAUAAUAUGUUUCCUUCCCUCA
rnacentral:sRNA from 1 species